rnacentral:sRNA from 1 species
CAGCCCUUGCUGAAAAUUAGUCGAACUGGACUGGCCUAGUAGUUUCUUUUAAAUGAAAAGUCGGUAGACAAAAAUAA